rnacentral:rRNA from 1 species
GACGAACGCUGGCGGCGUGCUUAACACAUGCAAGUCGAACGGAAAGGCCCCUUUGGGGGUACUCGAGUGGCGAACGGGUGAGUAACACGUGAGUAACCUGCCCUUGACUUCGGGAUAACUUCAGGAAACUGGGGCUAAUACCGGAUAGGAAUCCUUGCUGCAUGGUGGGGGUUGGAAAGCUUCGGCGGUUUUGGAUGGACUCGCGGCUUAUCAGCUUGUUGGUGGGGUAGUGGCUUACCAAGGCUUUGACGGGUAGCCGGCCUGAGAGGGCGACCGGCCACAUUGGGACUGAGAGACGGCCCAGACUCCGACGGGAGGCAGCAGUGGGGAAUAUUGCACAAUGGGCGGAAGCCUGAUGCAGCAACGCCGCGUGCGGGAUGACGGCCUUCGGGUUGUAAACCGCUUUCAGCAGGGGCGAAGCUUGUGGUGACGGUACCUGCAGAAGAAGCACCGGCUAACUACGUG